rnacentral:lncRNA from 1 species
UCGUCGCCUGGGGGAAUGUCUCCUUGAUUUCCUCGGAGGAGAGGAGUCGGUCCUAGGAGGUGGAGUUCGUUUCUUGCUUCUUCUCCCCUCAGACCCCUCAAGCUGGGUCUCCUUCCCAGCAGUCCUCUCUCGUUCCUCUUCUGGAGUGCGGAAGAAGGAAGAGAGCCUGGCAGCAGCAGGAGACUGCACAGGAGUAGUUUCCACAG